CAACAUAAAAACCCAUAGGGACAGCUGAAAUGGCGCUUUGAGGAGGCAACACGGAAAAUGCCGCUGGGAAAGUAUUACUGCGAUUACUGCGACAAGGAAUUCCAAGACACUCCAGUUGCUCGGAAACGUCAUCUCCAGAGCUCCUCUCACCUCCGCGCCAAAUCCCUCUGGUACAACUCCCUCAAAUCCCAAGACCUCAAUCAGGCUUACAUCGAUGGUGGCGGCGGCGCCUUUACUAAAGGAGUCUGCAAUCGAUUCGUCAAAACGGGAUUUUGUCCUUACGGGGAUUCUUGCAAGUACUUGCAUCCCACCAACAGCAAUAACCUGCAAAAUAAUGUUAAUCUUUUUCAAGCUACACGCCUCAUGAAUAAUGUUCAUUCACCAAUUAUUCUAGGAAAUCAAUUAGUUGGAGGAAGCUCUUUGCCAGCUGAUGUGGUGAGAGAUAGCAUGGGAAUGCCAUGGGGCAAUCUGCCUCCA
rnacentral:misc_RNA from 1 species